rnacentral:rRNA from 1 species
GACAGAGGGGGCAAGCGUUGCUCGGAAUCACUGGGCGUAAAGCGCGCGUAGGCGGCUUUGUAAGUUAGAGGUGAAAGCCCGGAGCUCAACUCCGGAACUGCCUUUAAAACUGCAUCGCUUGAAUCCAGGAGAGGUGAGUGGAAUUCCGAGUGUAGAGGUGAAAUUCGUAGAUAUUCGGAAGAACACCAGUGGCGAAGGCGGCUCACUGGACUGGUAUUGACGCUGAGGUGCGAAAGCGUGGGGAGCAAACAGG